rnacentral:lncRNA from 1 species
GCUUUACCUCUGUCCCCCAGCCUUUGGAGUGUCACCAAACAAGCCAUUCGUUCACCAAAUACUUAUUAAGUGCCUGACAACGGAGAUGUAACGAAAUUGCCUGUUUGCUCCACUCUGGUUGAAGAAACCAGUCUGACUGUCUCUGAGGCUAUGGAGCAGUCCAUCAAGAAUGAAAGCCCUCUGCCAGGCACGUUGGCUCACACCUGUAAUACCAGCACUUUGGGAGGCCGAGGCAGGUGGAUCACUUGAGGUCAGGAGUUCGACACCAGCAUGGCCAACAUGGUGAAACCCUGUCUCUACAGAAAAUAAUACUUUGCAAGGCCUCAGAAACUCUGCUAUCCACAGGCAGGUCUUACAGUCAUGGCUGGCUCCUCUCUCUGAGAACUGGGACUCCUGAACUUGGUGAAAUACCUCAGCCAUCGAUCAUGUUAAAUUAUCGGGGACACUCAUUAAAAAUGUGAGUCUGCUCCAGAUGGACUCUCUCUCUUUCUGCCCUGACCGUGAGGGAGACCGUGAGAGAGAGAGACCGUGAGAGAGAGAAACCGUGAGAGAGACCAUCAGAGAGAGAAAGAGAGACCGUGCCCUGACCUGCUGGACAGUGGAGAUGCUUGUGGGCUGUGAGCAACAGAUGCAAGGGCUGCCGGGAAUCCCAUCUUUCCAGCAUCAUCUGCCAAGGCACAUCAGUUCCUGGGUGUCUUGAUGGGUUCUGGCAGCAUUACUGUCAUUGAAGGAAAACAUUUUAGCCAUAUUAAAGGUGAACUCAGCAAUCCCCACACAGCCUGCCUGGAAGGGACGCGGGACAAGGGUAGGUUCUCCCUGUGAUGGACAGGAGGCAGGCGACCCUCCCACAGCCCUACCUGGCAAUGCAGAUGUGUCCCCAAAAGGCACUGGGGGCAGCUGGAGUGCUGUGCCUAGGCGGGCUCACCCGGGCAGCGGUUCGCUCUGAUUGCAGUGGUUUCCCACCAGCUCCUUGGAGAGCUGGCAGAUGACCCAGCCCCACAGCAGGAGCCGGGAAUGGCAGAACGAGAUACAACAAUUUGAUAUCCACUUGCCAGAUGAGCCGGGUGUCCUCAGUCGCCUGGCUCUGUGCCCAACCUCUUUUUACAUAAACACUUAUGAAUUGAGCCAGGAGGAAAAGCACUCUGAUUAUGAAUUGAGCAGAAGGAAACAAAGUUCUGCAGAUAAACACCAAUGAAACAAAAAACCACGAAUAAGAAAAAUGACAGAAAAGGAGAACCUUCCCAGAAGCCUCCUGCCAGUGAACGGUCACCAGAGCAAGAGCAUGGAGGCCCUGGGUUUUGAACUGUGAGAUAAGGAAGAUGAUGAAAACCUCCCUAGCAGCCAGGCAAGCACAAGAUUCCUGUGAAAUCCAGGUCUAAGUGUUUUGACAACAGAAGUAAUAUUAUGUCAUAGGUGAGAGCUGUGAGUUGCUGAACCCAAAGUGAGUUCAAAUCCGAGCUCUGCCUCCUGCUACCUGUGUGACUUUGAGAAGUUCCAGCACUGCUUUGUGCCUCAGUUUUGUCAUCUGUUAAAUGGGCGUAAUCACAGCUCCUGCCUCAGAGUUGUUGUAAAUUAAUACAUGUAAAGCACUGAAAUCAGCCUGGUAUA